AUUGAACGCUGGCGGCAGGCCUAACACAUGCAAGUCGAGCGGAGCGGCGGACGGGUGAGUAAUGCCUAUGAAUCUGCCUGGUACUGGGGGAUAACGUCCGGAAACGGGCGCUAAUACCGCAUACUUUCAGAUGAGCCUAUGUCGGAUUAGCUAGUUGGUGGGGUAAAGGCAUACCAAGGCGACGAUCCGUAACUGGUCUGAGAGGAUGAUCAGUCACACUGGAACUUAGACACGGCCCAGACUCCUACGGGAGGCAGCAGUAGGGAAUGUUCAGCAAUGGACGCAAGUCUGACCGAGCAAUGCCGCGUGAGUGAAGAAGGUUUUAGGAUCGUAAAACUCUGUUGUUGGAGAAGCGGUAUCUGACCAAAAAGCCACGGCUAACUCCGUGCCAGCAGCCGCGGUAAUAC
rnacentral:rRNA from 1 species